rnacentral:rRNA from 1 species
UACGAGAGGCCCAAACGUUAUUCGGAUUUACUGGGCUUAAAGAGUUCGUAGGCGGCGCAGACAGUGGGGUGUGAAAGCCCUCGGCUCAACCGAGGAAUUGCGCUCCAUACUAUUGCGCUUGAGGAACCUAGAGGUGAGCAGAACUGAUGGUGGAGCGGUGAAAUGCGUUGAUAUCAUCAGGAAUACCGGAGGCGAAGGCGGCUCACUGGGGGUUUUCUGACGCUGAGGAACGAAAGCCAGGGGAGCGAACGGG